UAGACCCAAAAAUCCCCCUUUCUUCAGCGGUUCAGCCAUCUAUUUCGCGGUAGUGAAUUAGGGAAAACUGAAAUGGAGAGAAUUCACUGUGAGAUUUCGAGAUCCCGGGAAACCUGAAGGCGUUUCUUUUUUCCUAUCAAACAAUGUUACCAAUUAAUUUCAAACGUUUCUCUUCUUCUGUAUAAAACAUCUUUGUAAAACCCUAGCCUUUCUCUCACCUUCUUCCUCAGCUUCUCUUUGUGAAAUCUAGGUUGUCGUAACAAACGCUCCAUCGCACAACUCUACUACCCCAGCUAGAAGUUCAGAUGCCGGUAUGAUUCAGUAUGCUUCGGGCCUUACAAUGCUCAAGGAAGGAAUUGUCGCUGAUUCAGCCAAAAUGUGAACUUUCUUUUCCAUUUGGUUUUGUUCGUGAAGAUGUUUGAUUGGUACCUUGCUGAAUUUUUUUUCAUAUGUUGUGGAUUCACAUUUCUACAGGUAAGUACUCAAUCUCCUAAUUUUUGUUGGUUUCCUGGUAAGAAAAUAAAACGAGGAAAAUUUGAGCUUUCAUUUUUACUCUGAAAGAGGAACUGGGGGAAGCCUGAAUCUAUUAAGUUUCACCUCUCACUUCAAGGUUUGAUAUUUAUCUCGACCGCACAACCGUAUUCAUAUGAAUAGAAAUGGCAUCUCUAUGGUGGAGGUUUUUCUUUGUCAUUUAUCAUUAUUUUUAUACAUGGUUGUAUUGAUUUGCUUCAAAUAGAUGACAUCGAUAUCUUCAUUUGAAAGUCGAUAUCUUCAUUUGCACGUUUACUUAUGGUCGCUAUAUAGUUCCAUAUGUGUUUUAUAAUUAAAAAAUCUAUUGCACAUAUCGAAAGUUUCGAAGAUUAGUGGUAUUCAAUGUGAUGUUUUAAAUUGUGACAGUGAAAGUGUGAAUAUAUAGCAAAAAGCCUAAACUCAUGGUGUCACACAUGCUACUCAAAUCAAGAUGCAAGUUUACUAAAUUCUGAUGUUGGAGUUAAUAGAUUUUGAAAGAUAAGCCUGAAUUAUCAUAUCGGGUCUCUAUAGUACGUAUAGGGCAUUUGGUCAAGAAAUUUACACUGAUUUCUUGGCUUUCUCGCAAUAUGCAGGUCAGGAUUCGUUUAACUUGAGCUUAAUAUUUAUUUGAAUAUUGAAAUGCUUGGUUAAUUUUUAGCCAACCAAAAAAUCCAUUGGCAAUCAUUAGAAGGUCUACCUAUGGUCACUGGCAAUCAUUAGAAGGUUUACCUAUGGUCACUGCAACAGUAGGGUGAAAAGUCUUAGAUUUUUUUUCUGGGGGAUUCGGUUAUUUAAAUUGUUAGCGAAGUAUAAUGUUUCAUGGUUUAUAGAUAAGUUUAUAAGGCUGUCAAAAGGAAUUUUUUUGUGACAGCAACAUCAUCUUGGUGGAGCCAUGGAUAUACAUGGUCAUUUCUUUGGUUAUCUUCUUUCAUUCUCUACGCAAUGGAGGAGUUAAGUUGUGAUAUGAUUUGAUUACAAUCUACCAUCGCUCAAAAGCAACAACAACAAAACAGUAGCGCUGCAGAGGUGUAGGUGUUGGAGAAUUGAUUGAGGAACACAUGUUUGGAUGGAACUACUUCAACAUUAUUCAGUGUAAAAGUAAUUAAUUGGUAGAAAUACCACUAAGCUAUUGUCUUUUCUCUAACGAUUCUAAUGAUUAGAGAAAGAAAGAAACUUCAUAUAACAUUAAAGGGUUAGUACAAUUCUAAUGAUUCUGCAACCA